UGACCUCAAAUCAGGUAGGACUACCCGCUGAACUUAAGCAUAUCAAUAAGCGGAGGAAAAGAAACUAACAAGGAUUCCCCUAGUAACUGCGAGUGAAGCGGGAAGAGCUCAAAUUUUGAAUCUGGCGGUCUUCGGCCGUCCGAGUUGUAAUCUAGAGAAGUGUCUUCCGCGCUGGACCGUGUACAAGUCUCCUGGAAGGGAGCGUCGUAGAGGGUGAGAAUCCCGUCUUUGACACGGACUACCAGUGCUAUGUGAUGCGCUCUCGACGAGUCGAGUUGUUUGGGAAUGCAGCUCAAAACGGGUGGUAAAUUCCAUCUAAAGCUAAAUACAGGCGAGAGACCGAUAGCGAACAAGUACCGUGAGGGAAAGAUGAAAAGAACUUUGGAAAGAGAGUUAAACAGUACGUGAAAUUGCUGAAAGGGAAACGCUUGAUGUCAGUCGCGUCCGCCGGGGAUCAACCUUGCUUCUCGCUGGGUGUACUUCCCGGUCGACGGGUCAGCAUCAGUUUCGGUCGCCGUACAAGGGCGAGGGGAACGUGGCACUCUUCGGGGUGUGUUAUAGCCUCUCGUCGUAUGCGGCGCUCGGGACUGAGGAACUCAGCACGGCUUCGGUUUGUGCUUAGGAUG
rnacentral:rRNA from 1 species